rnacentral:rRNA from 1 species
GAUGAACGCUGGCUACAGGCUUAACACAUGCAAGUCGAGGGGAAACGGCGUUGAGUGCUCGCACUCUUCGGACGUCGACCGGCGCACGGGUGAGUAACGCGUAUCCAACCUUCCCGUCACUGCGGGAUAACCUGCCGAAAGGCAGACUAAUACCGCAUGGCCUUCACUGACGGCAUCCGAGGUGAAGUAAAGCUUUUUUUUUGCGGUGACGGACGGGGAUGCGUCUGAUUAGCUGGUUGGCGGGGCGACGGCCCACCAAGGCGACGAUCAGUAGGGGUUCUGAGAGGAAGGUCCCCCACAUUGGAACUGAGACACGGUCCAAACUCCUACGGGAGGCAGCAGUGAGGAAUAUUGGUCAAUGGGCGGAAGCCUGAACCAGCCAAGUAGCGUGCAAGAUGACGGCCCUACGGGUUGUAAACUGCUUUUAUGCGGGGAUAAAGUGAGGGACGUGUCCCUGUUGCAGGUACC